GAUGAACGCUAGCUACAGGCUUAACACAUGCAAGUCGAGGGCCCGGCGCACGGGUGAGUAACACGUAUCCAACCUGCCCUUUACUCGGGGAUAGCCUUUCGCAAGAAAGAUUAAUACCCGAUAUAAAGGAUGGGGAUGCGUUCCAUUAGGUUGUGGGUGAGGUAACGGCCCACCAAGCCUUCGAUGGAUAGGGGUUCUGAGAGGAAGGUCCACCACAAUGGAACUAAGAUACGGACCAAACUCCUACGGGAGGCAGGAGAGAUGAAUAUUGGUCAAUGGGCGUUAGCCUGAACCAGCCAAGUAGCGGGAAGGAUGAAGGCUUAUGGGUCGUAAACUUCUUUUAGAGAAGAAUAUGUAUUAUAUGAAUAAGGAUCGGCUAACUCCGUGCCAGCAGCCGCGGUAAUUC
rnacentral:rRNA from 1 species